GACGAACGCUGGCGGCGCGCCUAACACAUGCAAGUCGAACGAGCGAGAGAGAGCUUGCUUUCUCGAGCGAGUGGCGAACGGGCGAGUAACGCGUGAGGAACCUGCCUCAAAGAGGGGGACAACAGUUGGAAACGACUGCUAAUACCGCAUAAGCCCACGGUGCCGCAUGGCACAGAGGGAAAAGGAGUAAUCCGCUUUGAGAUGGCCUCGCGUCCGAUUAGCUAGUUGGUGAGGUAACGGCCCACCAAGGCGACGAUCGGUAGCCGGACUGAGAGGUUGAACGGCCACAUUGGGACUGAGACACGGCCCAGACUCCUACGGGAGGCAGCAGUGGGGAAUAUUGCACAAUGGGGGAAACCCUGAUGCAGCGACGCCGCGUGGAGGAAGAAGGUCUUCGGAUUGUAAACUCCUGUUGUUGAGGAAGAUAAUGACGGUACUCAACAAGGAAGUGACGGCUAACUACGUG
rnacentral:rRNA from 1 species